rnacentral:rRNA from 1 species
AGUGAACGCUGGCGGUAGGCCUAACACAUGCAAGUCGAACGGCAGCACAGUAAGAGCUUGCUCUUACGGGUGGCGAGUGGCGGACGGGUGAGGAAUACAUCGGAAUCUACUUUUUCGUGGGGGAUAAUGUAGGGAAACUUACUCUAAUACCGCAUACGACCUACGGGUGAAAGCAGGGGAUCUUCGGACCUUGCGCGAUUGAAUGAGCCGAUGUCGGACUAGCUAGUUGGCGGGGUAAAGGCCCACCAAGGCGACGAUCCGAAGCUGGUCUGAGAGGAUGAUCAGACACACUGUAUCUGAGACACAGUCCAGACUCCUACGGGAGGCCGCGGUGCGGAAUAUUAGACGAUGGGCGAAAGCCUGAUCCAGCCAUACCGCGUAGGUGAAGAACGCCUUCGGGUUGUAGAGCCCUGUUGUUGGUAAAGAAGAGCAGCAGGUUUAUACCCCACUGUUAUGACGGUACCCAAAGAAUAAGCACCGGCUAACUUCGUG